CGGCAACGCAACGCAUAUCCCCACCCCCGAACACUUCGAAACAAAUAAGAAAGAGAGAAGAGGGAUUCCAAAAAAUCCAGUUUUCCACCUCUCUCUCUCUCUCUCUCCUCCCUGACAAUCACAGCUGGAGAUUAUUGAGUUACUUCUGAAGGCAUGCAGUCCGGUGGAGUACUAUACCAAAAAGUGCAAGAAGCUCGUUUUCAAGUAUGCCCCACUCAUGCUUGCCAAUGCAGAGCAAUACCUCGAAACAACAGACGUAUGCACUGCACUAGAUGCCUGUAAUUCGAACACAGCUAGCAUUAUGGAACACAUAUCCAAUCUUUCCGACUCUUAAUCGUGGCAACAAAGAGACACUGGACUGAUGAAUCCAUUCCGUCAUGGGAACAAAGGUAAACUGGAACUUGUGUCUAACACAUCGUUUGUGUAAAAACACUCCCAGGUGUGCCCGGCUGUGCUGUAAUCUCUUUGUGACAGGAGACUUGAUUCAACAUUUAUUUUAAAAUAUGUAACGAUAAAAUUCUGUACCGCAUUAUCUUUGACGAUUCGUAAUCUCUUAUGUUAUUCGAUGCUAAAUCAUAUUUAGAUUGCAAAACAAGGAAAAA